CCUCCCUUCCUCCAUGUACUCUAUGUUCUAUCCAGAAAACAUUUCCUUAAAACAAUCAUGGAAGAACCAUACUCCAGAUUUUGGAGAACACAGUUGGGAGAGCGUUCUGGUUCCAUGUCUAUAUGGACAUUUAGGAUGUGUGCAGUCUCAGGAUGGUCCUGUGCCAGCUGCAGGCUGGGCUGAGCUAGGGCUUUGUCACCAUCUAAUGCAGAAGCCCUUGUGCUAAUAUGUGAUCCUGUUGACAAGGCUGUUCUGCCCUUCAGGCCAAUGGGCUGAUUCACCUGUCUCCAUAUAAAGACAACCCAGCAUGCCCUUACCGGGUGCUACUGUCACUAUGGAGACACUAAGACAAGAAGGACUGUGACAGUACGAAGUGGGAUGGGAAGACAUUGUGAGGCCCAGCUGUACCUGGGAACUAGACAGAGAAACCACCGAUCCCCUCUUCAGACCUGCUUUCUAUAUUGUUGUCCUUGUCCUGAAGCUCUGUCACAGAGAAGGAAACAAUUUCCCCCAGAAUCUCCUUCAGCCUUCAUUCUGAGUCUUCUAGAUGGGAAGAACCUGGAGGAGGGUCUCUCCAGAUUUGUCAGAGGGUGUCCUUGUGAGCUGGGUCACUGCAUCUCUUGGGAUUUUGUUCCAGGUGUGGGAUGUCUGACAGAACUGGGCUCACAAUUCUAGCCAUGCAGCCUGUUCCUCACUUCCCGGCAUGUGCCUGCUCCAGUCCCCCUGUAGUACCAUGGGAGCGGUUCUUCCUCCACAGCCCUGAUCCCAUUCUUACCGACAAGAAAUGAGAGAGAAGACUGGGUCUGAGGUUUGAGCCCAGCUUCUGGGCUGCCUUUGUGCAAUGAUCUGAGCUGUUCUUUUGUCAGUUGACACUCGAUGGACACGGUCUUGUGCCAGGCCCUCAGUAGGGGCUGGAUCCCAGGAUCGGUAGUCUGGUGUCCAAGCCUUCCACAGGGAGCUGGCGGAGUCCAGGACAAUCAGAAAGACAAAGGUGCUCAGGUCUACCCUUUCUUCCUACUUGUGAGAAAUCUGGGGAUCUGUGCCUGUCACCUGGGAUGCUGCUGCUGACUUCUCUCAGUGGAACACUAGUGUGAGAGCAGCAUGAAAAUCCUUCCACACUCUCUUCUCAUUAUAACUGCUCCUCCUUGGAAGGCCGAUUUUGGUUCAAUGCUCAGGGCUUUCGAAAGCGCUCCUUUGCUGUCAUCUGACAUUUUGCAUGCACUGACAGAGAUUCCCUCACCUCCUUGCCAGAACUCCAUAGAGGAUUCUUACAUUGUACUUGGAGGUUUGAGAAUCAGCGUGAUUCAGGCAGUGUGCGCUGGAUUCCUUAGAGAAUGAGUGGAGACCGGAGCUCAAAGAUGCUGUCGGACUAAGAGAACCAUCAGACAUCUGCCACCUGCUUUCCCUGGGUGGUCAGUGUGAUUGUCUGGAACAAGACUGUUCAGGUUCAUUUCCACUGGGGUGAUUUUGACUUACACUUCGGGAUUGUAGUCCAUUACACAGGGAACUCAGGGCACAAACGCAUAGCGGCUAGUCAUAUCAUAGCCACAGUGAAUAGCAGACAGAAAUAAAUGCACACAAUUGAGCUUGCUUGCUUGUGUCCACUAGAGAUCCCCACUCUUGUGCAGUCUGGAACCCAAGUCCAGGGAAUGGCCCAGCCCUGAAGAGUUGGGUCUGCCCAUAUCAAUUAAGACAAUGCAAUAGCUCUUUUACAAACAUGCUCACAGGUGACCCUCUUGAAGAUGAUUCCUCAGUGAGGAGUGGAGUCCCAGGUUACUCUGGGCUGCACAAGUUGUCAGUUCAAACCAAGCAGCACAAUUGCUCCCAGUGCUCACCACAGCUCCCAGCACUGAAAACUGUCAGCUCCAUGACCAGAGCCUUCAGCCUCUUUGCUUUGCCUGGAUUCAAACUGACACCCAGCAGCACAUCCUCCCUUGUCCUCUCAGCUUCUCCCCCUGGAUAACUGACCUUGUCUGUACUCAGCAGACAUCACUGGGAUGUCUCCACUGUGUCCCGGCCCGAUGCUUCCUAGACAUAGGUUAUUUCCCAGAAGAUGAUGCUGCCUCCAGGUUGAAUCUUUCCUCUCUUUCCAGCUCUGCCAGGCUCAUCUCAAGUUGUGACACCCCUCCUUCCAUGAACGGUAGCGACUUUCAGUCCUUGUUCCGACUACUAGCCUAGGCUUGAGCAGAGUCAGUCGAUUUCGGCUCCAUCAUGGUGGGGAACCUAAUGGACAAGAAGCAGUGUCAGAACUUGUUGGAGAAGUCUAUGACUGCUCUGGGGAAAUGGGAGCCUUGACCUUGGCCCACACUUGUGCUGUUCUCCUUCUUUGGAUGCCAGUCAGGACAACGAGAUCUCUGUCCCUCAGAAUUGCCUUGAGCUCUUCUGCUCCUGUGCACUGCACUCAGUGAGGAGGUUGGGAGCAAGUGUAAAAUGAAUGAAAUACAGGCUCUGGAUUCUAUCAGAAACCUGCAUCACACCCCUGAAGCUCUGAGAAGCCGACAACUAGUUCAAGAACAAAUAUUCUCUGAGGUCAUGAAGACAAGGUAGAGAGUGGGUACCCCAAAGAAGUGGGUCAGAGGUCUCCCUCCCUGCCUUACUCAAAU